UACGAAGGGGGCUAGCGUUGUUCGGAUUCACUGGGCGUAAAGGGUGCGUAGGUGGUGAGGUAAGUCGGAUGUGAAAUCUCCGAGCUCAACUCGGAAAUGGCAUUGGAAACUACCUUGCUCGAGGGUUGGAGGGGGGACUGGAAUACUUGGUGUAGCAGUGAAAUGCGUAGAUAUCAAGUGGAACACCAGUGGCGAAGGCGAGUCCCUGGACAACUCCUGACACUGAGGCACGAAAGCUAGGGGAGCAAACAGG
rnacentral:rRNA from 1 species